rnacentral:rRNA from 1 species
UACAGAGGUCUCAAGCGUUGUUCGGAAUCACUGGGCGUAAAGGGUGCGUAGGUGGCGGGGUAAGUCAGGUGUGAAAUUUCGGAGCUUAACUCCGAAACUGCAUUUGAUACUGCCUUGCUUGAGGACUGGAGAGGAGACUGGAAUUCACGGUGUAGCAGUGAAAUGCGUAGAGAUCGUGAGGAAGACCAGUGGCGAAGGCGGGUCUCUGGACAGUUCCUGACACUGAGGCACGAAGGCCAGGGGAGCAAACGGG